UCGGCAGUAGUUUAGUGGUGAGAAUUCCACGUUGUGGUCGUGGAGACCUGGGCUCGAAUCCCAGCAGACGAG
rfam:Oryza sativa Japonica Group DNA, chromosome 5, cultivar: Nipponbare, complete sequence.